UACGAAGGGGGCUAGCGUUGUUCGGAAUUACUGGGCGUAAAGGGCGCGUAGGCGGUGUGUCAAGUCAGGCGUGAAAGCCCCGGGCUCAACCUGGGAACCGCGCUUGAGACUGGCACGCUCGAGUUCGGGAGAGGAUGGUGGAAUUCCUAGUGUAGAGGUGAAAUUCGUAGAUAUUAGGAAGAACACCGGUGGCGAAGGCGGCCCACUGGUCCGGUACUGACGCUGAGGUGCGAAAGCGUGGGGAGCGAACAGG
rnacentral:rRNA from 1 species